rnacentral:rRNA from 1 species
AUUGAACGCUGGCGGCAUGCUUUACACAUGCAAGUCGAACGGCAGCGCGGGCUUCGGCCUGGCGGCGAGUGGCGAACGGGUGAGUAAUGCAUCGGAACGUGCCCAGUAGUGGGGGAUAGCCCGGCGAAAGCCGGAUUAAUACCGCAUACGACCUGAGGGUGAAAGCGGGGGACCGAAAGGCCUCGCGCUAUUGGAGCGGCCGAUGUCGGAUUAGCUAGUUGGUGGGGUAAAGGCUUACCAAGGCGACGAUCCGUAGCUGGUCUGAGAGGACGACCAGCCACACUGGGACUGAGACACGGCCCAGACUCCUACGGGAGGGAGCAGUGGGGAAUUUUGGACAAUGGGGGCAACCCUGAUCCAGCCCUGCCGCGUGCGGGAAGAAGGCCUUCGGGUUUUAAACCGCUUUUGUUCGGGAAGAAAUCCUCUGGGCUAAUACCCCGGGGGGAUGACGGUACCGGAAGAAUAAGCACCGGCUAACUACGUG